rnacentral:rRNA from 1 species
UUAAGCGACUAAGCGUACACGGUGGAUGCCCUGGCAGUCAGAGGCGAUGAAGGACGUGCUAAUCUGCGAUAAGCGUCGGUAAGGUGAUAUGAACCGUUAUAACCGGCGAUUUCCGAAUGGGGAAACCCAGUGUGUUUCGACACACUAUCAUUAACUGAAUCCAUAGGUUAAUGAGGCGAACCGGGGGAACUGAAACAUCUAAGUACCCCGAGGAAAAGAAAUCAACCGAGAUUCCCCCAGUAGCGGCGAGCGAACGGGGAGCAGCCCAGAGCCUGAAUCAGUGUGUGUGUUAGUGGAAGCGUCUGGAAAGGCGCGCGAUACAGGGUGACAGCCCCGUACACAAAAAUGCACAUGCUGUGAGCUCGAUGAGUAGGGCGGGACACGUGGUAUCCUGUCUGAAUAUGGGGGGACCAUCCUCCAAGGCUAAAUACUCCUGACUGACCGAUAGUGAACCAGUACCGUGAGGGAAAGGCGAAAAGAACCCCGGCGAGGGGAGUGAAAAAGAACCUGAAACCGUGUACGUACAAGCAGUGGGAGCACGCUUAGGCGUGUGACUGCGUACCUUUUGUAUAAUGGGUCAGCGACUUAUAUUCUGUAGCAAGGUUAACCGAAUAGGGGAGCCGAAGGGAAACCGAGUCUUAACUGGGCGUUAAGUUGCAGGGUAUAGACCCGAAACCCGGUGAUCUAGCCAUGGGCAGGUUGAAGGUUGGGUAACACUAACUGGAGGACCGAACCGACUAAUGUUGAAAAAUUAGCGGAUGACUUGUGGCUGGGGGUGAAAGGCCAAUCAAACCGGGAGAUAGCUGGUUCUCCCCGAAAGCUAUUUAGGUAGCGCCUCGUGAAUUCAUCUCCGGGGGUAGAGCACUGUUUCGGCAAGGGGGUCAUCCCGACUUACCAACCCGAUGCAAACUGCGAAUACCGGAGAAUGUUAUCACGGGAGACACACGGCGGGUGCUAACGUCCGUCGUGAAGAGGGAAACAACCCAGACCGCCAGCUAAGGUCCCAAAGUCAUGGUUAAGUGGGAAACGAUGUGGGAAGGCCCAGACAGCCAGGAUGUUGGCUUAGAAGCAGCCAUCAUUUAAAGAAAGCGUAAUAGCUCACUGGUCGAGUCGGCCUGCGCGGAAGAUGUAACGGGGCUAAACCAUGCACCGAAGCUGCGGCAGCGACGCUUAUGCGUUGUUGGGUAGGGGAGCGUUCUGUAAGCCUGCGAAGGUGUGCUGUGAGGCAUGCUGGAGGUAUCAGAAGUGCGAAUGCUGACAUAAGUAACGAUAAAGCGGGUGAAAAGCCCGCUCGCCGGAAGACCAAGGGUUCCUGUCCAACGUUAAUCGGGGCAGGGUGAGUCGACCCCUAAGGCGAGGCCGAAAGGCGUAGUCGAUGGGAAACAGGUUAAUAUUCCUGUACUUGGUGUUACUGCGAAGGGGGGACGGAGAAGGCUAUGUUGGCCGGGCGACGGUUGUCCCGGUUUAAGCGUGUAGGCUGGUUUUCCAGGCAAAUCCGGAAAAUCAAGGCUGAGGCGUGAUGACGAGGCACUACGGUGCUGAAGCAACAAAUGCCCUGCUUCCAGGAAAAGCCUCUAAGCAUCAGGUAACAUCAAAUCGUACCCCAAACCGACACAGGUGGUCAGGUAGAGAAUACCAAGGCGCUUGAGAGAACUCGGGUGAAGGAACUAGGCAAAAUGGUGCCGUAACUUCGGGAGAAGGCACGCUGAUAUGUAGGUGAAGCGACUUGCUCGUGGAGCUGAAAUCAGUCGAAGAUACCAGCUGGCUGCAACUGUUUAUUAAAAACACAGCACUGUGCAAACACGAAAGUGGACGUAUACGGUGUGACGCCUGCCCGGUGCCGGAAGGUUAAUUGAUGGGGUUAGCGCAAGCGAAGCUCUUGAUCGAAGCCCCGGUAAACGGCGGCCGUAACUAUAACGGUCCUAAGGUAGCGAAAUUCCUUGUCGGGUAAGUUCC